rnacentral:rRNA from 1 species
GAUGAACGCUGGCGGCGUGCCUAAUACAUGCAAGUCGAGCGAACAGAUGAGGAGCUUGCUCCUCUGACGUUAGCGGCGGACGGGUGAGUAACACGUGGAUAACCUACCUAUAAGACUGGGAUAACUUCGGGAAACCGGAGCUAAUACCGGAUAAUAUAUUGAACCGCAUGGUUCAAUAGUGAAAGACGGUUUUGCUGUCACUUAUAGUUGGAUCCGCGCCGCAUUAGCUAGUUGGUAAGGUAACGGCUUACCAAGGCAACGAUGCGUAGCCGACCUGAGAGGGUGAUCGGCCACACUGGAACUGAGACACGGUCCAGACUCCUACGGGAGGCAGCAGUAGGGAAUCUUCCGCAAUGGGCGAAAGCCUGACGGAGCAACGCCGCGUGAGUGAUGAAGGUCUUCGGAUCGUAAAACUCUGUUAUUAGGGAAGAACAAAUGUGUAAGUAACUAUGCACGUCUUGACGGUACCUAAUCAGAAAGCCACGGCUAACUACGUG